rnacentral:rRNA from 1 species
CCUACGGGGGGCAGCAGUGAGGAAUAUUGGUCAAUGGACGCAAGUCUGAACCAGCCAUGCCGCGUGCAGGAAGACGGCUCUAUGAGUUGUAAACUGCUUUUGUACGAGGGUAAACGCAGAUACGCGUAUCUGUCUGAAAGGAUCGUACGAAUAAGGAUCGGCUAACUCCGUGCCAGCAGCCGCGGUAAUACGGAGGAUUCAAGCGUUAACCGGAUUUAGUGGGUUUAAAGGGUGCGUAGGCGGUCGGGUAAGUUAGAGGUGAAAUCUCGAGGCUCAACUUCGGAAUUGCAUCUGAUACUGUUCGGCUAGAGAGUAGUUGCGGUAGGCGGAAUGUAUGGUGUAGCGGUGAAAUGCUUAGAGAUCAUACAGAACACCGAUUGCGAAGGCAGCUUACCAAGCUACUUCUGACGUCGAGGCACGAAAGCGUGGGGAGCAAACAGGAUUAGAUACCCUUGUAGUC